rnacentral:lncRNA from 1 species
GAAACCUAAACUCAACUGGACAAUACCCAAUGAAACCUAAAAAUGCUUAAUUUCACCCUAAACCUACCAUUUCUCAAGCGGACCCAAAUAUUUUGCUUAAAUUGGUAGAUCUAAACAUUGAAGAAGAAGCAAUGGUUGAUUCAACUCUAGCAUUCAUUACCAUUGCUGUCACUUUCAUACUCUCCGAUCACGAUUUACAAAAG